GAGGGAGAGAGGAUUCAGGGCUGGGGGCCCCGGAGCUCGGCUUCCUCCUGGGUAACGGCACCUGGGCUCCCCCCCCCACUCCCCUCCAUUACCAGCCCCACGUGAAUGUUCUCUGGGGGACCCCAGGGAUAAGCGGCCCGUCUGCCUUCCCUGGCCCCCCCACUUUCCCCGGCCCCGCUUCCCAGGCAGGCUGCAGCAGCGCGAGGUCGCUGGGGAACGGCCAUGCCCCCGCCGGGGACCCCUUCCUGCAGGCCCCCCCGUCCCUGCUGGAGCCGCCCACCUACCCCCCCAUCCAGGUCAUCCACGCCAAGGUGUCUUCCAGCAGCUCCUCCGAGGUGUCUUCCAUCAAUUCGGAGCUGGAGCAGAAGUACUGGGAGGCCCUGAACUCGGAGCAGUGGGACCGGGAAGAUGCAAACCUUCCAUGGAGCAGAGGCGGCUGGGAGACGGCCAGGCCUCUGGCCCAGGAGGGGCCGCGCCACCAAGCCCAGAGAGCCGCCGACGCCCAGUGAGGCCCCCGGGAGGCGCCCUGAGGGAGCCGGGCUCCGGGAGCUGGCGCCCGCCGGCCAGGGACGGCCUCCACAGACCUCCCCGGGGAACCGUCUGCCACCAGGGCAUUAGAGGGCGGGAAGACUCCCCACAGAGAACGCUCUGCCCGUGGGCACCACAACGAGGGGCAAAAGAUGCCCAGGGGGGCACGGAUCCGAGCCAAGAGAGGCUGACUCAGACUGUCCUCUGCGAAGCUGGCCGAGGUCCGGGGGCAGCCGGCCCUUCUCGGGGUCGGUCAGAGCUGCUGGCCUGGAUCACUUAGCCUGUGAUCGGAGCCCGAGGGGUCCAGACUGGCCGUGGCAAGGGGAGGACCUCCCAUCCUGGCGGACACGCAAGGCCCUGGGCCUCUGUGCCCCUCCCGUUCCCAGCGAGUCGUCAGGGCCACCAGUGACUCUCUCCAGGGCCUCGCCCUCCCCUCUGCACCAGCCAUUCCUCCCUUCAUUCAUUCACCAGCAUGUGUUAGGUCCCACCGGAACCGGCCCCGGGCUCGGCUGCAGGGCUGCAGGGCUGGGGAAACUGAGGCCGAGAGAACAUCUGCCCUCAGGAGAGGCUGCCGAGAGCUCCAGCCCAGGCUAGAUAAGGUCCUUGCAGCCUGACUGUUGCAACAGGAGGGAGGAGGGGGCCUCCUGCGGACUGGCGGGGUGGGCAGAGCGGGGGCGGGAGCGCCCACCCGAGGAGAACCUCCGGGCCCUGUCUCCAGCACAACCCUGCUGGGACAGCUCAGCGCCCCCCUCCCCCCCCAGUGGGGCCUUGACCUGGUGAGAGCCUGCUGGUCCCGGAGCAGCCGAGUUCUCCCCUCCGGGGCGGUAAGGUUGCCCCCCGCUCCUGCUCCCGCUCCCCACAUAUUGGGGGAAAGAAGGAGCCGGCGAGGAGAGGAGGUAUGGGCUCGGCCUAGCCCCAGACCUGAGCUUCCCCAUGUCCCGCAGCCGAACUCCCCCGAAAGUCCCCGGGGGCCUGCGUGGCCACGUCCCGCCUUUUUUUGGCCUCUUGCUCCCAGGAUCCCCGGCUGCCUCGGGGGCUGUCCCUCUCACUCCCUCCUCUCCGGGCUCCUCCUGUAAAAUGUCCCAUGUGCACGUGUGCAGGCCCCGGCUUGUGGGGAGGGGGAGCCUCAGGGCCUCCCUCCCUGGCGGGUCCCCUGAGAGAGGCUGUCGCUCACAGGAGGCGUCUCCUCCUCCCCGGGCAGCUCCCGUACUCCUUUCCUAAUUAUUUUUAAGUGUCCCAAAGGGUUUCCAUGGACCUCGAACUCACUUUUAUUUAUAAAACUAGGAAAAUGCCGUGUCUUCCACGGGGCUGGAACACCCCAAGGGAGGCUGAAGGGCCCCAAGGCCCACCUCUGCAUGGCUGGUGGGUAGGACGGAGAAGUGGGGCCCGGCUUCCCUGGGGGGCUCUCUCCACUGGCCCCGGCGGCCCCCAAGCCAGGACUCCCAGAGGGCCCAGACGCGGCCCCUCAGAGGCCCUUUCAGCACGGGGGGCGAGGUCUUCCAGAAACCUGGCGCCUCCCACUGCGCGCGCUCCAAGCCCGCCCGGGUUCGGGAUUUUAGCCAGAGCAGCCAUGCUUUUGUACCGGCAUCGAUAAAGUUUUUCCACAGUAUCCCUUCUUUCUCUCCCGGUUGCGAUUUGUUUCACAUAGGCCAGAAGUGGGUAGGGACAACUUACAUCGGAGCCUGAUCCUCACUUUGUGUGGGCAGGGUGGGGAAAGUUUUCUUGGGGUGGGGACCCCCGGGGGGGGAGCCCCGCUGACUUCUGGGAGGCAGCUGGGUGGCGACCCUGAGCAAGGACCAAGCCAGAUGGCCCCGGCACUCCCUGAGCCCAGGCUGACCCCAAAGCCAAAGUGGCCUCCAUUCUGAUGACAUCCCCCCCUUCCUCCCACCUGCUCGUGGUGUCCCUCAUCCCCAGUCUUGUCCCUCCCCCAGGGACACCUUCCCAAGCUGCCUCUGGUGGUCAGCACCCAGGGAAACGGCUGCAGAAUGGGGGGGGGCAGGGGCCACACAGGAUGCUGUUUCUCCCCGCCUCCCCCCCUUCUUCCUCCCCCCCCCCCCCCCCCCCCCCCCGGUCUCGACAUCUCACACACUUGAAGGCAGGGACACACAGUAUGUCCGCCUCUGAAUCUCCUGUGUUAAACAGGCCUUCACACAUAGUAGGCACUUAAUGUUUUGAGGGGCAGCCCUGAAGUCAUGAGGACCUGAGUUCAAAUCUGGGUGAUUUCUCUGGGUCCCCUCUUGGCUGCUGCCCAGAGAAUGAUGCUUGGGGGGGGACCUGGGGUUCCAGCCAGUCUGGCUUGGGGACUCACUCAGUUCCCCUCCCCACCCCACAAUUCUAGUGGCUGGGCAGGGUCCGUGCUGGAUCCCCCCCAGUUCAUCUGGACCCAGGUAAUUUUUCAGCAUUGACAAUUGCCAAACCUUUUGUUCCAUUUUUUACUCUCCUUCCCCCACCCCCUCCCCCCGAUGGCAAGUUGACCAAUCCAUGUUAAAUAUGUCAAAGUAUAAGUUAAAUACAAUAUAUGUAUACAUGUCCAUACAGUUAUUUUGCUGCACAAAAAGAAUCAGACUCUGUAAUAGUCUACAAUUGGCCUGUGAAGGAAAUCCAAAAUGCAGGCGGACAAAAACAGAGGGAUUGGGAAUGCCAUGUGGUGGUUCAUGGUCAUCUCCCAGAGUUCUUUCUCUGGGCGCAGCUGGUUCAGUUCAUUCCUGCUCCGUUGGGACGGAUUUGGUUCCUCUCCUUGCUGAGCAUGGCCACGUCCAUCAGAACUGGUCAUCAUACAGUAUUGUUGUGGAAGUGUAUAAUGAUCUUCCUCCAGAUCUGUUUUAUCGCCCGCUCUGCCCUCCAGACCCAAAGCCUGCCGGGAUGUCUCCGGCCUGUCUGGGCUCCGGGUCAGCCCUCGGACCCAGGCCUCAAACCGGGCAAAAAGACGAGGUGGGGGAACAAAGAGCCGCCCGAGGCUGGCGCAGGCCUCGCUGGAGGAAAACACCAGGGAGGAGGAGAGAACAGCCCGUGGACAGUCCUUCGGCUCCUGGUCUGAUGCUCACAACCCUGGGGGAGGCAGCAUGAGCAUUGCCUUCUCACAGUCAAAGAAACUGAGUGACAGAACUUCAGAGUUGGAAACCCCUUUGGGUCAGGGGUCAACUCCCACUCCCAAGUAAGGCCCCCCACCACACUCUGCUUGCCUCGCCCAGCCCUCCCCCUCCCAGCAGGGAAGGCACUGGCUGUAGGGGCAGGGGCACCCCCACGGGGCAGGCUCCUUGUGACCUGGGGGGCACCGCCGACCUUCCCCGAGGGCAGGGGCUGCGCUCCCACAGCCCGCACUUGGGGGCUGCUUUUGGGCUUUCCCAGGAGCCACUACUAGAUCCAUGGUUCCGGGAAAGGUAGGAGGGUUGGGCCGAGAAGUGGGGGUGCAGUGGGCUGAGAAGUGGGGGUGCAGCAGGCCGAGAAGUGGGGGUGCAGCGGGCUGGGGCGGCCACUGGCCUCUUGGGUAGCCAGAGUCUUCAGAGAGGGUCGAUGUGUCCCUAGCCUGGGGGGGGGAGGGGCAUCCCCGCUUCCGCGGGCACCUUUGCUCCCCUUAGGGCGGGUGCUUUGUUUUCGGCCUUCGCUAGGGCAGUGACUCAGCCGGGGAGGAAGGGGGGCUCCCUGGUCCUGCCCCCGCAGCCCCGCCCCGGGCUUAGGGGUGAGAAGGGCAGCCGGAGCAGCCUCCCAGA
ensembl:lncRNA